rnacentral:rRNA from 1 species
GACGAACGCUGGCGGCGUGCUUAACACAUGCAAGUCGAACGCGGAAGCUCAGCUUGCUGGGUGGAUGAGUGGCGAACGGGUGAGUAACACGUGAGUAACCUGCCCUCUUCUUUGGGAUAACGCCCGGAAACGGGUGCUAAUACUGGAUAUUCACUGAUUCUCGCAUGGGGGUUGGUGGAAAGGUUUUUUCUGGUGGGGGAUGGGCUCGCGGCCUAUCAGCUUGUUGGUGGGGUGAUGGCCUACCAAGUCUUUGACGGGUAGCCGGCCUGAGGGGGUGACCGGUCGAAUUGGGACAGAGAUACGGACCAGACUGAAGCGAGAGGCAGCAGUGGGGGACAGUGCACAAUGGGCGAAAGCCAGAUGCAGCGACGACGCGUGAGGGAGGGAGGCCUUCGGGUUGUAAACCUCUUUCGAUCAGGGUAAAGCCGGAGCGUGGGGUUGUGGUGAGGGUAGUGGGUAAAGAAGCGCCGGCUAACUACGUG